rnacentral:rRNA from 1 species
GUUAAGCGACUAAGCGUACACGGUGGAUGCCCUGGCAGUCAGAGGCGAUGAAGGACGUGCUAAUCUGCGAUAAGCGUCGGUAAGGUGAUAUGAACCGUUAUAACCGGCGAUUUCCGAAUGGGGAAACCCAGUGUGUUUCGACACACUAUCAUUAACUGAAUCCAUAGGUUAAUGAGGCGAACCGGGGGAACUGAAACAUCUAAGUACCCCGAGGAAAAGAAAUCAACCGAGAUUCCCCCAGUAGCGGCGAGCGAACGGGGAGCAGCCCAGAGCCUGAAUCAGUGUGUGUGUUAGUGGAAGCGUCUGGAAAGGCGCGCGAUACAGGGUGACAGCCCCGUACACAAAAAUGCACAUGCUGUGAGCUCGAUGAGUAGGGCGGGACACGUGGUAUCCUGUCUGAAUAUGGGGGGACCAUCCUCCAAGGCUAAAUACUCCUGACUGACCGAUAGUGAACCAGUACCGUGAGGGAAAGGCGAAAAGAACCCCGGCGAGGGGAGUGAAAAAGAACCUGAAACCGUGUACGUACAAGCAGUGGGAGCACGCUUAGGCGUGUGACUGCGUACCUUUUGUAUAAUGGGUCAGCGACUUAUAUUCUGUAGCAAGGUUAACCGAAUAGGGGAGCCGAAGGGAAACCGAGUCUUAACUGGGCGUUAAGUUGCAGGGUAUAGACCCGAAACCCGGUGAUCUAGCCAUGGGCAGGUUGAAGGUUGGGUAACACUAACUGGAGGACCGAACCGACUAAUGUUGAAAAAUUAGCGGAUGACUUGUGGCUGGGGGUGAAAGGCCAAUCAAACCGGGAGAUAGCUGGUUCUCCCCGAAAGCUAUUUAGGUAGCGCCUCGUGAAUUCAUCUCCGGGGGUAGAGCACUGUUUCGGCAAGGGGGUCAUCCCGACUUACCAACCCGAUGCAAACUGCGAAUACCGGAGAAUGUUAUCACGGGAGACACACGGCGGGUGCUAACGUCCGUCGUGAAGAGGGAAACAACCCAGACCGCCAGCUAAGGUCCCAAAGUCAUGGUUAAGUGGGAAACGAUGUGGGAAGGCCCAGACAGCCAGGAUGUUGGCUUAGAAGCAGCCAUCAUUUAAAGAAAGCGUAAUAGCUCACUGGUCGAGUCGGCCUGCGCGGAAGAUGUAACGGGGCUAAACCAUGCACCGAAGCUGCGGCAGCGACGCUUAUGCGUUGUUGGGUAGGGGAGCGUUCUGUAAGCCUGCGAAGGUGUGCUGUGAGG